rnacentral:rRNA from 1 species
AUGGCGGAAGGAAAAGGGGCCACGACAAAGAAUCCGAAAAUGAUGCCACGACAACAUAACGGUUCCGGCCAUGGAGAUGACAGGCAGCAGGAGGCUGCUAGUGGAGGCAGAGCCACAACGAGGAGGUCCUGCUCCGGUGGCUACAAGUGGUGGACGGACGCAGGCAGCGUCAAGGCUUCGGGCGCGAGGGAGAAGGAGCCGGUGCGAGGUGGCUGGCGGAGGAGAGCAUCUCACGCGUAG